CUCCCCUCCCAGCCUCCCGGGAGCCGUCUACUUAUUCGGUCUUCCGGGCCGCAAGGAGGCUGCCGAAUCCCGCGUUGAAAUUCUCUUCCCCUCGGAAGGGAAGGACCUUUGCUGGCUGCGAGCUCCUGGGAAGAGGCCUGAACACACUGAAGAAAAGGACUGUCAUUUCCAAUCAUCCUAACAAACAUGAAUUACACCCGAUUCAUCACAGCAGUCAGUGCAGCAAGAAAGCCAUCUCCAAUAAGGCUCCUGACUGAACUGAUGCAGAAAUCACCACCAUCACUCAUUUCCUUGGCUGGAGGAGCUCCAAAUCCUAACACUUUCCCCUUUAAGACUGCAAAGAUCACCAUAGACGAUGGAACUGCCAUUGAAUUUGGGGAAGAUUUAAUGAAGAGAGCGCUUCAAUAUUCUGCCUCAGCAGGGAUUCCAGAGUUGUUGUCCUGGCUGAAAAAGUUUCAGAAUAACCUCCACAAACCCCUCACUGCAGAGUUCAGUCCUGACCAAGGACAAAUGGAGAUAUGCGUCACCACUGGGAGCCAAGAAGGCCUUUGUAAAGUAUUUGAGAUGCUCAUUAACCCUGGAGAUAACAUCCUCUUGGAUACACCUGCUUACCCAGGAACCCUUGCAGCUCUGAGGCCCUUGGGGUGCAACAUCAUCGGCCUGCGCAGCGACCAGGACGGCCUGAUUCCAGAUUCUCUCCGAGCAGCACUUUCCAGGUGGAGACCCGAGGAGGCCCAGAAACCUAACAGGCAGACCCCCAAGUUCCUUUACACAGUUCCAAAUGGCAGCAACCCUACAGGAACGUCCUUACCAUAUGAACGCAAAAAAGAAAUCUACGAGAUGGCAAGAAAAUAUGAUUUUCUCAUCAUAGAAGAUGAUCCAUACUAUUUUCUCCAGUUCAACAAGCCUUGGGCGCCAACAUUUCUUUCUAUGGAUACUGAUGGUCGUGUCAUAAGAACUGAUUCUUUCUCAAAAAUUCUCUCUUCAGGGUUGAGGAUAGGUUUUAUAACUGGUCCCAAGCCUCUGAUUGAUAAGAUAGUUUUGCACAUGCAAGUUUCAACAAUGCACACUAGCACUUUUACACAGCUGCUGAUUGCCCAGCUUCUGCAACAGUGGGGAGAGGAGGGUUUCCUGAAGCAUGUAGACAGGGUGAUAGCCUUCUAUAAGGGGCAGCGGGACGCCAUGCUGACAGCUGCAGACAAGUGGCUCAAAGGUUUGGCAGAAUGGCAUGUCCCUGUUGCUGGGAUGUUUUUGUGGCUUAAGAUUAAAGGUAUUUCUGAUACAAAACAACUGAUUAUGGAAAAGGCCUUACAAAAAGAGGUAUUACUAGUUCCUGGGGAUGCAUUCUCUAUUGAUGAUUCAAAGCCUAGUCCCUAUGUCAGAGCUUCCUUCUCUUUGUCUUCUCCAGAACAAAUGGACCAGGCUUUUCAGAGACUGGCUGAACUUAUAAAAGAGUCUUUAUGAAGGAAGAAAAAGCAGAAUCAUUUUACUCAUGGACUUCCACAUUGUCAAUUUUCAUAUUUCACAAAGAAGAAAUUGGUGGAACAAAGAGAAUGAAUGGCCAGAAAAAGGAGAAAGGAUGUUCUACAGGAAAAAAAUAAGGAAUAAUAAACUGGAGGAAUUCCAUGGAGACUGGAACAACCUCCAGGAAGUGAUGCAGAGUAAAAGGAGCAGAACCAGGAGAACAUUGUACACAGAGACUAAUACACUGUGGUACAAUCGAACGUAAUGGACUUCUUUAGUGGCAAUGCAGUGAUCCUGAACAACCUGGAGGAAUCUACGAGAAAGAACACUAUCCACAUUCAGAGGAAAACUGUGGGAGCAAAAACACAGAAGAAAAACAACUGCUUGAUUACAUGGGUGGAGGGGAUAUGGUUGGGGAUGCAGACUCUAAAUGAACAUCCUAGUGCAAUUAUCAAUAAUAUGGAAAUAGGUCUUGAUCAAUGACACAGUUGUAAAACCCAGUGGAAUUGUGCAUCGGCUAUGGGAAGAGAUGAGGGAAGGGAAAGAAUGUGAAUCUUGUAACCAUUGAAAAAUAUUCUAAAUUAAUUAACUUAAUUAAUUUUUUAAAGAAAAUUUCUGUUUACUGAGACAAAAAAUAAAAGGAAUCCCUGCUCUAAGAAUCCUCUAGGUUGCAAAAGUACCCAUCAGCAGAAAUAAAGAGAAUUCUUCAUCUGGAAUUUCCAACCAAAUUACAGAUCUAGUACCUAUUCCUACUAUUCUUAAAACAUAUCAGACCUUGAACUUGCAAACAAUUCAACAUAAACAGCUGCCCUUAUUGAAGAGAAAUUGCCCAUUCUCAGUUUGGGCUGUGAACUCAGCUGACUUUCCCAGCCAAAUUAAUAGUUCAAUGUGCCACAGAGGGAAAAAAUAGUUUUGAGAAUCACUAAUAUAGUUCUGGCAACAGUGUGUGGGUCUGUUGGGUAAAUCAUGAGGAAACUCACCUCCAAUGGAAUAAUGAAAAUAAUCCACUAAGAAGCAGAAGGCUAGUGAUGGACAUUCAUGGAAGAAGUGGCCACACCAAUGAAACCUCAAAUCCUAAAAGAAUUAACGCAUAAGAAUUCAUAUUUUAGCGUUGCUUGGAGAGUUUGCAAUAUUUAAUUUAAAGGAACUGUGGGAAAAUUCCUUGUCUUAAUUUGAGUUAUGCAAAAUCUGAUUUUUCUAGAGAUUUUUUAAAGUGGAGCACCCCUGUAUUUGGUGUUCAAAAUUAAUGUUUAAAUAUUUCAAACUUACAUCGAGUUGCCUCAUUUCUUGAAAAAUGAAUAAAUGCAAUCAGAAUGAAGACUGUACUUGUUAGAGCCUGGACAGUUCAAAAGAACAUAUAGGCUACAGAAACAAGUACACAGCUCUAAAAUCCCUUUCGUCUCUCAAAAUAUAUAGUCAUAUUGGAAGGAGUCCCAGAUUUGGAGUCAGAAAGUCCUGAGUUCAAAUUCAUCCUCAGACACUUCCUAGCUCUGUUAUUCUGGGCAAAUCAUUUAACCUCUGCCUCUUUUUCCUCAUCUCCUAGGGUUGCUAAAAGGAUAAAAUAAAAUGAUAAUUAUAAGACAUUUUGCAAAACUUAAAGCAAUAUAUAAAUGCUAGCUGUUAUUUACAAAAUGUUAUGGAAUUUUAAUUAUCUUUUUGGGAAAAUUGAUUGUCAUUGACCGUAGUCGAAACAAGUACCCUUUUCCUUACCCUAAAUUCACAUUCUAUCCCAUAUCUUGAUUUCCUUCCUUGCUUACACCUGAAUUGCGAUCUUCUUUGGAGUAUUAGUUGCUAUAAUUAAAAAGCAAACAUCUAAUUGAAUCAUUUAAAGAGGAAGAGUUUGGGUUCUCCCUGAAUUUUUAAAAACAUAAUUAUAAAGGCCCUUUCAAAGCACCAUAUGGUUUGUUGUAGCACAGUAAACACAUUUUUAAUGGCAUUAAGCCCAGGGAAUUCAGCUGUGAACAGCCAGAGGGAAGAAGCGAAAAAAUUAUCUAGGCCAGGGUGAUGAAGAUGGGGCGAGUUCAAAGACAAUGUGUAUAAACCUUGAAGACACACCCAGAUGCCGUGGUUUGUAACCAGCAGUAACUUCUAAAAUUAAGAACUUAUUUUUUUAAAAAAUCCAGCAGGAUAAAUAUGAAUCGAAGGGUUUUAGAACCUUUUUUAAGGAUGUAUAAACCCAACUUCAUCACAACGAGCCAAUGAAAGUGAGUGUCCCAGGACACAAAUGAGUUCGGCAUUAAUUCACUUUAUAAUUCUUUUCAUUCCUAUUGCCAACGAAUAAAAGAAUGGAUAAAAAAAAAAAGGUGAUCAUUAAGUGCUUACACUAUGUCAAGCAUUGGUCUAACAGCUGUAGAUAGAAAGUGGGGGGGGGGGGAAGCAAAUAUUCCCCCCUCCCUCCUCCCUGCCCUGAAAGAGCUUACAUUUUUAUGGGUGAGCUGGCACCCGUAGGGGAGUGGUGGCCAGGGAAGCACACUUUGGAAUAACCAAACCACACUUGGAGGAACACUGGGAUUUUUUUCCCCUGCUCAACAGAAUUUAUUGAAUUGAUAACUGGACAAGUCACGUGUGUACAAAAUGGCGCUCACAAUAGCCCAAAGCCUGGCGCUGGGAGGAGUUAGGGGCGUGGGGCAGGAAGCAGCUACUGGGCUUUCGGGGAGAAGGUCGGAGGCGUGGUUACCCAAGAGACCCCACUGGCUUUGGUCAUCAAACUCAAGCAGAGCCAAAUGCUGGGCAGGGGCAAACAAAAGGAGGGCUGAAGACCCAGCGAUUCCAACUUCCCAGUUCAUCUCUUCCUUGGUACGGUCGGUCCAGGUCCAGCUAGAAGCUCAGGGGUGUGCAGGAAAGGGGAGACACCAGGAGAGAUAAGAGGAGUUGGGGCUCCCAGGUUAGGAAAGAGGGAGCCCAUGGCCAGGCUUUCUUUGAUGCUGGUGUGGCCAGUGUGGUUGACCCUUUUGAUGACGUCCUGGUCGCCAUAGUUCAGCCUGGGUUCAAAUGUCUAUCCUGUCGACCUUGCUUAAGCCUCAUUGAAAGGCAUAAAGAAUCAUUUCAUGAUAUAUAUUACUUUGAGUUUUAAAAAUGAGGUUUCAUCUAUAUAAAAUCCUGCCCUGGGGAAAUAAUGCUAGAUUUGGGAUCAAAUGAUGGGGAUGUGAUUCCUGCCGCUCAUUGGGGAAAAAGGAGAGAGGUGUGGGCAACAAGCAUUUCCUAGGUUCCCCAUGCAGUGUCAAGCACAUUACAAAUAUUAUCGCAUUUUUUUCCCCUUACAACAGCACUAGAAAGGAGAUGCUGUUAUUAUCCUAAUUUAAGUCACUUGUUCAGAAGCACACAGCUAAGUUAGUAUCUGAGGUAGGAUUGGAACUCAAGUCUUCCUGACUCCAAGCUCAGCAUCUUCCCCACUGGGCUGCCUACCUGCCUCACUUACCACUAGGAAUAACCCUGGACAAGUCACUUGGGAGCAGCCUCAUGUUCCUCAUCUGUAAAAUGAGAACUCUUGGAGCCUCAGUGUUUUCAUCUGUAAAAUGGAGGAGCUCACUAGAUGGCCUCUAACUCUUCCAGCUAUGACCUUAUGACAUUUCUAUAUAGGAGAAAGCCUGCCAUCACAAUGGGAACAUUAAAAAAAUGUUUUUUAUGUUUAAAAUUUUUAAUUUUUUAAAAAAUGUAAGUUGUGGGGUUUUCCUGUCUUAUAAUUGAUAAUAAAAUUUGGUUCCAAGGCAAAAAGAGCAUUAUGGGCUAGGUAAUUAGGUUUAAGGGACUUGCCCAGGGUCACACAACUAGGAAGUAUCUGAAGUUAGGUUUGAUUAGGACUUCCCAUCUCUAGACCUGGCUCUUAAUCCACUGAGCUAUCUAGUUGCCUCAUUAAGCCUUUUUUUUUUUAAUGUUUUUCAAAGGAGGCACUGUGAUAUAGUGGAAAGAGCUUUGUAUUUAGUAUCUGGGAUCAAAUUCCAACUCAACUGUUUACUACCAGUAUGAACUUGAGCAAGUUCCUUUUAACUUCCCCAGAACUCAGUUUCCUUAUCUAUGAAAUGAUGAAGUUAAACUAGAUGGUCUUUAAGGUCCCAUUCAAUUCUAGGUCUAUUCCCCCAAGAAUCUAUGAAGUAAAGACUUUUCAAUGUAUUCUGUAUAGUUCUUUGAUUGUGCCUUCACUUACAGGAGAGUCCACCAGAUUCCCCAUUCUGACUCAAGGGAUUUGUUCCCCUUUGGGGGGAAAAAUCUUGGGUAAAAAUGUAGUGGGGGAAAAAUGUACUUUUUUAUAAAUAAAGAAUACAAAAAACCCAACAAUAAAAAAGGGAUUUCCCCUUUUAAGUAGAAAUAGCAUGGAAUUCUUUUGAUGAUAAAUGUGUUGCUUGAUGCACAAUAAAUGGUUUAUGCUAGCUAAUCAGAAUCCUGAUUUCUCCAGGAAAGUUGUGCCAUACAACUAAUAUAUCCCAAAAAGCAAAAAAAACAAAACAAAACAUUUCAUUUGGGGGAAAAAUUGUUAUCUUAAUGGAAUUGUAAAGUUAUAUACAUUAGAUGUAGAGUGUGUAGUAUAUUUAUCAGUCUAUAUGUCCUAUUCCUUUCUUCUGCCUUCCUCUAAUCAAAUAGCAACUUUUGAGGGCAAAUACUCUUUAGCUUGUGUCCUUGGUACCUAGCACAGCACUUCCAGUAGGUCCUUAAUAAAUGUUGCUUAAAAUCUGGAGCCCUUUCCAAAGGGCCAUAAAACUGCACACCCUUUAAUCCUGUAACACCACAACUGGGUCUGUAUCCCAAAGAGAUAAUAAAAAAGAACAAAGAAUCUUCCUGCACAAAAAUAUUUGUAGUAGCUCUUUUUGUAGUGGCACAGACUAAGAAAUUGAGGAAAUGUCCAUCAGUUGGGAAAUGGCUGAACAAAAUGUGGUCCAUAUUGUUGAUAUAUUGAUAUAUAUAUAUAUGAUAUUGAUACUAUUGUGCUAUAAGGAAUGAUAAGCAAGAUAAUUUCAGGAAAAGCUGGAAUAUCUCCAUGAACUGAUGCAGAGGGAAAUAAUCAGAACCAGGAGAACAUGGUACAUAGUGUAUUUUAAUAAGAAUCCAAGAUUUUGAAAUUUUUUUCGAGAAAGAUCUUCAAGGAAGAAGCUUGCUAACUCCUAAAUCCAAAGAAUGAACUGUUGCAGAAAGAUGCCAGAAAACCUACACUACAUCAAGAAGAUCAAGAAUGAACUUUGGAUGUGGUUGAUUGAACUGAAGUUUGAUUGAACAUGUAUUUUAAAUGUACACUUUUAUGCCAAAGGGGACUGCCCCUAAUUUGGCUUUUUGUCAGUGCACCUAGCAAAACAUUGUAUUUGCUUUCUCUCUUUUCUAUUUCUCCCUAACUAUUGUGAUUUCCUCUUAGAAACUGAAUAUUGUAUACAUCUGUAGUUAGAAGUGCUUUAGGACUACAAGAUGAUUAUGUUAAAUGAUUAAUGGGGAGACUAGUCUCCCAAUGAUCAUCAGGGGGAAUUGUAAAUGUUAAAUUACUCCACCCUACUUAAACCUUAUUGUAGGGGAAGAUAAAGUUGUAAUCUCCUGAUUGAACAAUGAAGGUACUUAGUUCUAACCUUAUAGUAAAGCUAGAACACUAAGCUAAGUCUAUUUUUAGAUCUUAAUACAAGAAGGUGUUAAUCCAAAAACAUGUUAAGUAACUAUAGAGGUUAAAUUAAUCACAAAAAGGUCAAGUAAGUAACAAAAGGUGAACUUAACAAAGAAGUGUUAAGUAACUCAAAAGCUAUAAUCUAAUCAAAGAAGGUGAGAACUAAAAGUAUGGGCAGUCCUGGAGAAAGCCUUUGAUGUAAUUGGUAGAUAUGAAAGUUUAGAGGAGGAGACACAAGGGUGAAAGGUCUAUAUAUUUGGGAUUUUUCAUCUCUCAAAAAAUAAUACUCUCUUUCUCUUAUUGGCGGUGGAAAGUUAGCUGAGAGGAGCGUGCUGAGCCUUUCAGCAUCUUAGCCUGACUACAAGCUAUUGUCCGGUUCGGUGGUGAGUUUCUGUCUGAGUUUUCCUCCUUUAUUUUCCAACUUUAUCCUCCUAGAAGCCUCUAAUCUUCCUCAGAGACCUAGAGGCAGGGAUUUUUAAAUUCCCCCUGGCCAGGCGGGAGAAAUCCUAUAUCCCCUUCCUUCCCUCUCCUUAAUUCCUCCCCUCUAUAUUAAUUAAAUUACCAUAAGAUAACAAGACUGACUUUAUUUUAUUUGGGAUUUCCCCUGGUGACCAAUUAAAUCUAGAUUUUAAGUCACAAAUCGAAAUUCAUCUUUACAAUAGUAAUAGCUAUAUUGUGAGGUGAUCAACUGUGAAAACUUGGCUACUCUCAGGGAUACAACAAUUUGAGAUAAUCCUAAAAAAUUAUGACAAUGCUAUCCACCUCCAGAGAAAGAACUGUUGGAGUUGGAUACAGAUCAAAGCAUAUUAUCUUUCACAUCAGUGUAUUUAUGGUUUUAUUUUGGUGUUUUGCUUUUGUAUGAAUGUGCUCUUGCAACAAUGACCAAUAUGGGGGUGUGUUUUACAUGAUAAAUAAGUGAAUGUUGUAAGGGUUAAAUUGGAGUUUUGACUAAACAAGAGAGUUAUAAAUUCAAUGUUGUGGUUGUCAAAAUAAAAAUAUUAUCCCUGAGCCAUAAAAAAAACUGUUAGCAGCUUUUAUUUAUAAAGAGGAAAGGAAAAAGUUGAAGUAUAAAAUGUAGGAGGGAAAGAGAUAAGGAAUUGCCUAGCCUACCCUAAGUCCUGAUCCAAUGAAAUUCAGCUCACUCCCUGACAAAGUUCCAAUCUCCAUGUGUAAGUCACUCACCAGCAAGCAGAUGCAGGAUCUAAGGAAAAGAGUCUCUCCACAGAACUCAUGCUGAAGGGUGUGUCCCACGGUCAACGAGCAAAGAGGGUCUCCUUGCAGAGCAAUCAAGGCAGGAAUCUCUCCUGAGAGUCCUGAGGAGACAUUCAAAGGAGAAGUGUCAAGCAGCAGUCCUUCAAAAAAGAAGUCCAAAGGAGAAGAGACAAAGACAGUGUAAGGAGCAAAAAGGGUUAAUUAUAUAAAAAGGUUUGACUGGAUUAUAUUUAAAAUAAGGUAGAGAAGAAUUCAAUUUAUUCCAAAGAGAUUUAUUUACUAAAUUUAUUUACAAAAUAUUGGAAGAAUGAAGAAGGAAAUCAGAGAGAGGAUAGGGUAAGAUAUCUAGCCUAAGCACUAAGUAACUUACUCCCAGCCCUGGCUCAACCUGGGCAGGGAGAAUUAGUCCUUAGGCCUCAGCAAAGAUGAGGACCUGGAGAAGUCUCUCUCAAGAGGUAAGGCUCUCCUGAGGCUAGUUUGUUUGUUUGUUUUCAGAAAAUCCAGCAGUUAAGAGUCAGUUUUUCACACACCAUGUGUCAGUUCAAAGGAAGAGAUUUUAGAACAGCCUCACCAGAAGCAGGGUCUCAGGUCCAGUCAGCAGAUUUUCCACCAGCCAGUAGCACUGAACUCAGGAAGUUGUCACUCCCUUUUAAAGACACUUUCUUUUGUGUCACUUCCUGUGUCUUCCUCCACUUUUUAUGUGGACAAAUCAUAAUCUAGGACUGCCCAGGAGGCAGUCAGUCAACUCUGAUUUAUUGCCCACUAUUGCACAUAUGGGUCACAGACCUCCCACUUAAUAAUUAAGUGGGAUGUUUACACUUUUGGUGAUUAAAUCUAAAAAUAGGCAGGGGUUAAAAUUUAAUCUUCACAAUCAGGGGAGAGUUAAAUUUAAUCUUCACAACAGGAAUUUCCAGACUUUUUAUAGUCCCUUUUCCACAUCACUUCCUGUCCCUUCCCCUCUUCACAGGGGCCAAUCACAGCUUCCAAAUUGCCUAGUGCUGUCCAGGGGGGCAGUGUCUGUAGGAUCCACCUCUCAUCCUCUGAGGGUAUAAACUCUUAUCAAAGGAUUCACAAGUUUCUGACUGAUUGAGUUAAAAGGAUGGAGAUCUCUAAGUAAGUGACUUGUCAAUUCUCUUACUUGAUGGUUAAGUAGGGAUUUCUUGAUUGAUUAACUCAAAAUAGACAAAGAGAAUGAAGAAUUUCCUUUCACAGUGUUGCCUGAAUGAACGAAUGGAUGUUACAUAAGUAUGUGCCAUAAAUUGUUCUUCACAUUACCUAUCUUUUAUCUAUUCAUUCAUCAGUGCCUCUUCGAAAACAGUCAUAUAAAACUCAGUUGGCAUCAUUAUUUCCUAAGAUAUGGCCAUCAUUUAAGGUUAAGAAAGUUUCUGGGACAAAACAUACAAAGAGGUAAAAUGAUCCAUUUUUCUUUGAUUGGCAUGUAUGAUAGUGCUGUAAUGAAAAGUAGGGACUGCCUUACUAAAUGGUAGAUAUGUAUAUACAGUGUCUUUUAAGUAUUUUAGAUGUCUAAUAGUCACUGCUCAUGAAGUUCUGAUGGCUCCCCAAUUUCUCUAAGAUAAAAUAUAGUCAUAUUUUGGCAUUGAAAGUCCUUCAUUGUCUGGCUCCAGUCUGCCUUUUAAGUCUUACCAUAUAUUACACUCUUCACUCCUCUGACCUUUUUACUGUUCCACAAGUAAAACAUUUCAUCUUCAGCCUCCAGUAUCUUGACAUAGUCCCCCAUACCUAAAAUGGACUUAUCUUCUCACUUCACCUCUUGUCACUUCUUUUAUUCAAGGACACCUUUUACAAAAAGCCUCUCCAAAAUUCUUAGUGUUCCCCUUCCCCAAUGACUUUGUGGCUCAGUGGAUAGAAUAUCAGUCCUAGAGUUAGGAAUUUCUGAGUUCAAACCUGGUUUCAGAUACUUACUUCCUAUGUGAUCCUGGACACAUCACUUAAACCUGUUUGCCUCAGUUUCCUCAUUAGUAAAAUGUGGAUAAUAAUAGCAUCUAUCUCCCCUGACUAUCAUGAAGAUCAAAUGAGAUAAUAAUUGUAAAGCACUUAGCACACGUUUUCACAACCACUUUAAUUGUGCGCCUUCUCUCCUCAGGGAUCAAGGUGGUAAAAGAGGACACAAUCACAGUUUCAGACGUUUUUAUACUUAGGUUCAUAUUAUAUCUUCUCAGUAAAUAUCCCUUUUUAACAUUAAUUUGGUCAUUGAUGUUGAAAAUUUUGCUAGCAAUUGAUAUUAGGGAAGGUGGCAACUGGUCAAACUAACAAUAGAGACAAAGUAACUUACUGAAUAAUAUUAGGGGGGGUAGAUAAAUGAAAUAGGAGAUCAUGAACAAUAUUAGGGGGGAAAUUGUCCCAACCCCCUAGGAUUAGUUCAAGAACCUGAGGGGGAGAAGUAUCCAAAAUCUGGGAACCAACCUGCCCGUGGAGUGGAGAUCAAUAGAGUGGGGCCACAAUCUAUAUGUUAA